AUGUACAACAUCCGCCCGUCGCCGUCGCGCUGCGAUGGAGCAGCAAUAAGCGGUGGGGCGUUGCAGUGCAACUCCGUCGGCGGCACCGUCGGGGUGCUGCGGUGGAGCCCGUCGUGCCGGUGCGGGCUGCAGCGAAACAUCGUCGGUGGCGUCGGGUGCUGCGAUGGAGCAUCGAUGGACCACCUCCGCGCCGGCGUCAGCGCUGCAGUGAAGCAUCGCCGGCGACGGCGGGUGCUGCGAUGGAGCGCCACAGGGGGGGCGUUGAAACUUCGUCGGAGUUGCAUUGAAAGCACCCUCGGCUUGCAAUGGAGCACGUACGGGGUGAUUGGAGCUCCGCCGCGGUUAUAA
rnacentral:rRNA from 1 species